UACGUAGGGGGCAAGCGUUGUCCGGAUUUAUUGGGCGUAAAGAGCGUGUAGGCGGCCAUACAGGUCCGUUGUGAAAACUGGAGGCUUAACCUCCAGACGUCGAUGGAAACCGUAUGGCUAGAGUCCGGAAGAGGAGAGUGGAAUUCCUGGUGUAGCGGUGAAAUGCGCGGAUAUCAGGAAGAACACCCGUGGCGAAGGCGGCUCUCUGGGACGGUACUGACGCUGAUGCGCGAAAGCCAGGGGAGCAAACGGG
rnacentral:rRNA from 1 species